AACGCAUCUUGCGCUCCAUGGUAUUCCGUGGAGCAUGCCUGUUCGAGUGUCACGUCAACCCUCACCCCUUGCGAUGUCAAAGUCGCUCGAGGUGGAUUUGGACCGUGCCGCGCUUAGCGGCUCGUCUUGAAAUGCAUUAGCUUGCGCUUUUUAGAGUGCUCGGCACCGGUGUGAUAAUUAUCUGCGCCAACGCCUUAGGCCUCUUCAGUAGUGCUGCUUACAGUCGUCCGACGCGGACAAUAUAACCAAGCUUUGGCCUCGAAUCAGGUAGGACUACCCGCUGAACUUAA
rnacentral:misc_RNA from 1 species